GUUGAUAAUAUGCACCACUGAGGUUGAUUAAUGAAAGAGAUAUAAUCUAAGUGGUACAUGAUUCUAUAGACAGAAGUUAGGUUUAUUCAAGGAUUUUUUUCUUGUGAUUUUAUGUCAUGUAUUUAUUUUGAUUAUUAAUGAUUUAAUUGUUACAAAUGAAGAAAAAGAGGCCCAGAAGUGGACCAGUGAUGACCACUGCUGCGUAGGAGUCAUAUAUGACUGGGUGCCGUCAAGGUGAUUUAAGGAUUCGUCUGUGGUCACAAGGUCUCGUUGCAUUCGUGUGUUAGGAGACCAUAAUGGUCGCAUUCAAGCUGAUUUGAGCACUCCGCCCUGGUCAGGAGCUUUCUGGUUGCAUCUAUGCAUUAAGCUCAUGGAGAGCAAUAACAGACGGUUUGAGCUGAUUUCAGCUUCUGCUGUGCUCAAGAUUGUCAUGCUCCCUCUGGGUGUGGAAAGAGACUAAGCAUAAACGUACGAGAGAUGAUUUAGCAUCUUCCGUGGACGUGAGCUAUGUGGUUGCCUCUCUAUAAUAGGAGGAUGGAGAUUAAUAACCGCCACCCUGGACCGGAUUUAAGGACUCUUGAUCACCAGCUCUAGGUGCAUCUGUUUUUUAGGAGCCUGGAGACCUGUAAUAGAAGCUGAAAGAUUUCAUUGUGAUCUAUUGUGAUCAAGCUUGUCAUGUUCCUUUAUUGUAGGAAAGAGACCAAGGUGAGUCAUGGUUAAAGUUCUUCUCUUGGUUUGGGUCAUUAGUUUAAGGGUUUUCAUGGUAUUGUUAACAAGUAAUCAACAUUGUCAAAAAAUUAACUAUGGCCCAAUGAUAAAUAUGAUAUGAAACAUUAUGUUGAUUAGUUGAUAAUAUGUAGCUUCGAUAUUUAUAAAUGAAAGAGAUAUAAUCUAUUUUGGCAAUGAUUCUAUAGAGGAAAGUUAGGGAUACUCAGUUAUCUUUGUUUUUUGUUAAUUGUAUAUUUUAUCAUCAUCAGUGAAGUAAUAAUUUAAUUGCUACAAAUAUAUAAAUGAAUGACCUAAAAGUGGACCUCUCAUGAACCCACCAUGACGCCUGGUGGCAGAUGUCAUAGGUGAUGAACAUGUGUCUGGAACCCUGAGGUCCAACACAAUACAUACUGUAUUUUCUCUGUUUAUUUGAUUCUGUUGACAUAUGUUAGGAAUGUAUAAAGAUCAUGUUCUUAUUUUGGGUUAAUAGAUUUGUAUUUUUUAUUAUUACUAGAAUAAUGAUAGAAACAUUGAAUAAAUAGAAAUAAUAGAUUAAGAAGAAAAGGGGAGUUCUUGUCUAACUAUGAACAUACAUGGUGAGGCAAGAAAUAUUAAUGAAAACUGCGAACACUGGUGCCCAUUAAGUAAUAAGUGGAUCAAGGGUGUCACCUCUUUGGCCAAGGAUCAUACAGACAUGAAUAACUGAGAGUCACUUUUAUUGUUCUGGGUCAGUCUUAAGUUUGAAGUUGAUCUUUUUGUUAAGAGGAAAAACUUACGUUAUGAAAAAUUUAUGAACUCCUGAAUGACUAAGUAAAUGAAAUUUGGAAAGGAAGAAUCAAUGGGGAUAAAAGUUUGGGGUUUUUCUGUCAUUGAUUGUGCUUUGUACUUCCCAAAAUGGACACAUUUGAGCUGAUGGAGCCUUAGCCCAUGGUGGCAAGCUGUAUGAUUGCACCUCUCCGCCGGAAGCUCAGAGAUCAAGAGCGAAAACGCUCAAGAUGAUGUGAGCAUCUUCCGUGGUCACAAACUCUAUAGUUGUGACUUUAUAAUAGGAGCCUGGAGAACAAUAAUGGAGGUUCUAGUUGAUUUCAGGUUCUGCUCCGAUCAAGAUUGUUUGUUGCCUCCACGUUAGGAGAGAGACCAAGAAUGGACGCGGAAGCUGAUUUAGCAUCUCUCAGAUCCAGGCGCUCUAUGGUUGCAUCUGUGUAAUAGGAGGACGGAGAUUAAUAAGAGACACACUGCGCCUGUUUAAGGAUUCCUCCUUGUCGUGAGCCCUAGGGUUGCAUCUCUGUUUUAGGAGCCUGGAGACCAGUAAGGGACACACUGAAGCUGAUUGUAAUACUCUUCCAAGGGCGUGAGCUCUCUCAAUGCGUCUCUGUGCUAGGAGCAUGUGGACCAACAACAGAUGCUCGAGCUGAUUUCAUCUUCUAUCGUGAUCAAGAUUGUCAUGUUCCCUUUGUGUUAGGAAAGAUACUAAGAAUGGACACACUCAGGCUGAGUAAGCAGUAUUCCAUGGUGUGGAGUUUAUGAUUGCACCUUUGCGUUAGGAGCACAGAGACCAAUAGUGGGCGCCCUGGACCUGAUUUAAGGAUUCUUUCCGGAUCACAAGCCCUGGGGCUGCAUCCCAGUUCUAGGAGCCUAGAGAGCAAGAAUGGAUGACUUGAGCUGAUUCUAACGUUCUUCCAAGAUCGCCAGCUCUCUGAAUGCAUCUCUGUUGUAGGAGCAUGGAGACCACUAACAGAUAAUCAGGUUGAUUUCAUCUACUGCUGUGGUCAAGAUUGUUACGUUGGCAUCAUGUCAGUGAGUAAUAGUCAAAGUGAGUAAUAGUCAAAGGUCUUGUCGUGCUUUGGGUCAUUUGGUUAAAGAUAUCCGUGGUAUUAUUAAAAAGUAUUAAAUAUAAUGAAAAAGUUAACUAUUGCCCAAUGAUACAUAUGAUAUGAAACAUUAUGUUAAUUGAUAAUAUAUAGCUUUGAGAUUGAUUAACGAAAGACAUGCAGCUGAUGUUGGCAAUGAUUCUAUAGAUAGAACUUAGGGAUAUUCAAGUAUCUUGUUUUUCACUUUUUGUGAGUCAUGUAUUUAUUUUUUCAUUGUCAUUGAAUUAGUGAAUUAAUCAAUACAAAUGUAAAUGAAUGAAGAAUAAAUGGGCUUCUAAUGGAUCAGUGAUGACAACUGGUUGUCUAGGAUGAUGAAUGAUUUGUGUCUGGAGCUCUUAAGGUCCAACAUGAUACCUAGUGUAUUCUCUCUGUUAUAUUUGACACCAUAGACAAAUGUUAGGAAUAUACAAAGAUCAUGUUAUUAUUUCGGGUUCAUAGAUUUAUAUUUAUUAUUAUUAAUGGAUAUAUAGAAAUCUAAAGAAAUAUGAAGGCUAGAUCAAGAAUAAAGUUAAAGCCUUGUGCAACUGUGAUCCUAUGUGGUGAGGCAAAAAAAAUUAUUAAUAAAAAUUGAAAACACUGAAGCUCAUUAAGAAAUAAACUGAUCCCAAGGGUGUUAUCUGUUUGGCUAAGGAUUGUAUAUAUAUGGAUAAUUGAGUAAAUUUUAUCGUUCUGGGUCAUUCUCAAGUUUGAGGCUGUCCUUUUGUUAAGAGAAAAUAAUAUCUACAUUCCAAAAGAAUUUUAAAUACCUAAGUUACUCAGUAAAUAAUGUGGAAAUGAAGGACCAAUGAGUAUAAGUUCUCAAUUUUGUUAUCUUCAGCUGUGCUUUGUACUUCUCAGAAUGGACACAGUUGAGCUGAUGAAGCAGUAUCCUUGGUGGCAAGCUCUAUGAUGGCAUCUGUGUGUUAGAAGCAGAGACCAAUCUGAGUAAUAGCCGUUCUAGUCUGGGUUUCAGUGAUUUUUUUCAGGAUAUUCAGUGUAUUUCUAAAAAGUGCCAUACAGAAUUGAAGAAGGCUGAUUGUAGCCCAUUCAUAAAUAUUGAAUUAAUAUGAAACAUUAUACUGAUUAAUGCGUAAGUGACAUUUAGGAUUAUUAAUGAAAGAGGUAUAUUGAUGUGAGAAUCAUUCUAGACAAAUUAGGGAUAUCAAUGCCUUUUUGGGGUUUUGUGAAUCAUAGAGUUUUAAAAUUAUACAUAGUGAAUUAAUGAAUUAGCCAAUAAACAAUGUAGAAAUAAAUGAAGAAGAGGCACAAUAUUGGCUCGAUGAUGACUGCUGGUGGCGUAUGAGUCGUAUACUAUGACUACGUGUCUGGAACUCUUAGGUCCAACAGAACAAGAAAUCGGGUCCAUUCCCAUUGUUUGUAGAGAUCCUGUAGGCAAAUGUCAGAAUAUACAAGGAUCUUGGUUUUGUUUUUAUGUUCAUGCAUUUUUUUCUAUUUUUAUAAUUGGAUCAAUGAAAUAAUAAAUAUCCAAAUAAAUAAAGAUGAAGGUGGUGAAAUAUUGUCUAGUUAUAAAAAUAUCGGAUUAGGCAAUAAACUCUAUUGAUUUUUAUAGAUGAAUUGAUUCUGUAGAGAGAUGUCAAGAUCAAUGCAAAUCAAUAGACAGAUCAUAUUUUUGUAUUGACUUCAUAGAUGUAGAUAUGUUCUAAUUAAUGGAAUAAUGAUAGAAAUACUAAGCAAAUACAAAUAAAAGAGGAACAGGGUGAAGUGUUGCCUAACUAUGAAUGUAUGUGGUAAAGCAAAAGAUGUUAUUAAUGAAAUUGAAAACAUUGAUCCUAUUAAGAAAUAAAUGAAUCAAAGUAUCACCCCUUUGCUUAAGAAUCAUUUGGACAUUGACUAGUAAGAAUCAAUUGUAUUAUUUUGGGUCAGUCUUAAGACGAAGUUUUUCAGUAUGUAGGGUUAAAUGUAUAUAUAGAUAAAAGAAUAAAUAUCUUUCUGAGCUGAUGAAAUGCGGAAAGUGAGGAUCAAUGGUGAUUAGGUCUCAAUUUUUGUAUCAUCCGCUCUGCACUCCUCAGAACAGACGCACUUGUGCUGACUUAGCAUCUCUCAUGGUCACGAGCCUCUAUAUUACAGGAGAACGGAGAUUAAUUCCUCAGAACGGACGCAUUGGACCUGAUUUAAGAAUUCAUCCUUGAUCCUGAGACCUAGGAUUGCAUCUCUGUUACGGGAAUCUGGAGACCAAUAAUGGAACCACCUGAGGUGAAUUAAGCGUCUUCCAUGGUCACGAGCUCUCUGCUUUCGUCUCUGUUGUAGGAGCAUGGAGACCAUUUCGAGCUGAUUUGAGGAGUGUUCCAUGAUGGCAAGCGCUGUGACUGUAUCUCCAUGUUAGGAAGAAAAAGACGAGUAACGUUGCACACGGCUGAUGUGGGCGCUCCCCCAUGGUCCCAAGCUGUUUGCACCUGUGCGUUAAGAGCGUGGAGAACAAUAAUGGACUCUGGAACUGAUUUCAGCUUUUGCUGUCGUCAAGAUUGUCAUGCUGCCUCUGUGUAUGGAAGGAGAUCAAGCCCCCCAGUACAUAGUUGUAUAUUCUUCGAUGUGGGUCCUUCUAGUUGUGGCAUGUGGGACGCUGCCUCAGCGUGGUCUGAUGAGCAGCGCCAUGUCCGCGCCCAGGACUCGAACCAACGAAACACUGGGCCACCUGCAGCGGAGCGCGCGAACUUAACCACUCGGCCACGGGGCCAGCCCCCAAAGAUCACAUUCUUGUAUUAAUUUCAUGGGCGGAUAUUUGUUAUUAUUAGUGGAAUAAUAGAAGUAUUAAAUAUAUAAAGAAGAAUAGGGUGAAGCAUUGUUCACUUAAUGAAUGUAUGUUAUAAGGCAAAGGAAAUUAUUAAUAACAUUGAAAACAUUGAUGCCUAUUAAGAAAUUAAUGGAUCGAGAGGUCAUCUCUGUGCUAAGGAUCAUAUAGACACUGAUAAGGAAGAGUCAAUUUUUUUCCUGCGUCAAUU
rnacentral:lncRNA from 1 species